rnacentral:rRNA from 1 species
AGUGGCGCACGGGUGAGUAACGCGUGGGAACAUGCCCCUUAGUACGGGACAACGUCGGGAAACUGACGCUAAUACCGUAUAAUAUCUCCGGAUCAAAGAUUUAUCGCUGAGGGAGUGGCCCGCGUCUGAUUAGCUAGUUGGUGAGGUAAUGGCUCACCAAGGCUACGAUCAGUAGCAGGUCUGAGAGGAUGAUCUGCCACACUGGGACUGAGACACGGCCCAGACUCCUACGGGAGGCAGCAGUUAGGAAUAUUGGACAAUGGGCGAAAGCCUGAUCCAGCCAUGCCGCGUGUGUGAUGAAGGCCCUAGGGUUGUAAAGCACUUUCGUUGGGGAUGAUAAUGACCGUACCCAAAGAAGAAGCACCGGCUAACUUCGUGCCAGCAGCCGCGGUAAUACGAAGGGUGCAAGCGUUGUUCGGAAUCACUGGGCGUAAAGAAUGCGUAGGCGGCUUAACAAGUCGGGAGUGAAAUCCCAGGGCUCAACCCUGGAACUGCUCUCGAAACUGUUUUGCUAGAGUCCCGGAGGGGUUAGCGGAAUUCCGAGUGUAGAGGUGAAAUUCGCAGAUAUUCGGAGGAACACCAGUGGCGAAGCGGCUAACUGGACGGGAACUGACGCUGAGCAUGAAGUGUGGGGAUCAAACAGGAUUAGAUACCUGUAGUCACACGUA